ensembl:rRNA 5S_rRNA 5S ribosomal RNA
GUCUACGGCCAUACCACCCUGAACGCGCCCGAUCUCGUCUGAUCUCUGAAGCUAAGCAGGGUUGGGCCUGGUUAGUACUUGGAUGGGAGGCCGGCCUAGGAAUACCGGGUGCUAUAGGCU